rnacentral:rRNA from 1 species
UACGAGGGGGGCGAGCGUGUUCGGAAUUAUUGGGCGUAAAGGGUGCGUAGGCGGUUUGGUAAGUCUGAUGUGAAAUCUAUGGGCUCAACUCAUAGUCUGCAAUCGGAAACUGCCGGGCUUGAGUGUGGGAGAGGUGAGUGGAAUUCUGGUGUAGCGGUGAAAUGCGUAGAUAUCAGGAGGAACACCUGUGGCGAAAAGCGGCUCUGGACCAUAC